rnacentral:rRNA from 1 species
AAUGAACGCUGGCGGCGUGCCUAACACAUGCAAGUCGAACGAGAAAGCCUGGCUUGCCAGGCGAGUAGAGUGGCGCACGGGUGAGUAACGCGUGGGUAAUCUACCUUUGUCUGGGGGAUAACCUACCGAAAGGUGGGCUAAUACCGCAUAACGUGGUCGAAUUUCGAUUUGAUCACCAAAGAUGGCCUCUCCAUGGAAGCUAUCAGGUAGAGAUGAGCCCGCGUCCCAUUAGCUAGUUGGUAAGGUAAUGGCUUACCAAGGCUACGAUGGGUAGCUGGUCUGAGAGGAUGGCCAGCCACACUGGAACUGGAACACGGUCCAGACUCCUACGGGAGGCAG